rnacentral:rRNA from 1 species
ACAUGCAAGUCGAACGGAAACGCGACGUAGUUUACUAUGUUGGCGUCGAGUGGCGGACGGGUGAGUAACGCGUAGGAAUCUGCCUUAUAGUGGGGGACAACUUAGGGAAACUUAAGCUAAUACCGCAUAUUGCCUUUGGGUAAAAGCUGGCGCUUGUAAGCUGGCGCUAUAAGAUGAGCCUGCGUUGGAUUAGCUAGAUGGUGGGGUAAAGGCCUACCAUGGUGACGAUCCAUAGCUGUUCUGAGAGGAAGAUCAGCCACACUGGGACUGAGACACGGCCCAGACUCCUACGGGAGGCAGCAGUGGGGAAUAUUGGACAAUGGGCGCAAGCCUGAUCCAGCAAUGCCACGUGUGUGAAGAAGGCCUUAGGGUUGUAAAGCACUUUUAUUGGUGAAGAAGUUCUGUAGUUUAAGAGAUGAUAGAAUUGACAUUAGCCAAAGAAAAAGCACCGGCUAACUCUGUGCCAGCAGCCGCGGUAAUACAGAGGGUGCGAGCGUUAAUCGGAAUUACUGGGCGUAAAGAGCUCGUAGGUUGGACUACAAGUCAGAUGUGAAAGCCCUGGGCUUAACCUAGGAUGGUCAUUUGAAACUGUAGACCUAGAGUACGGUAGAGGAAAGAGGAAUUUCCGGUGUAGCGGUGAAAUGCGUAGAUAUCGGAAGGAACAUCAGUAGCGAAGGCGUCUUUCUGGACUGAUACUGACACUGAGGAGCGAAAGCGUGGGUAGCGAACAGGAUUAGAUACCCUGGUAGUCCACGCUGUAAACGAUGAAUACUAGCUGUUGGUCAUUUAAAGAUGAUAAGUAGCGCAGCAAACGCGAUAAGUAUUCCGCCUGGGGAGUAC